UACAGAGGUGGCAAGCGUUGUUCGGAAUUACUGGGCGUAAAGGGCGAGUAGGCGGCCUUCUAAGUCAGACGUGAAAUCCCCCGGCUUAACCUGGGAACUGCGUCUGAUACUGGGAGGCUUGAGUAUGGGAGAGGGAUGUAGAAUUCCAGGUGUAGCGGUGAAAUGCGUAGAUAUCUGGAGGAAUACCAGAGGCGAAGGCGGCUACCUGGACAAUUGCUGACGCUCAGGCACGAAAGCGUGGGGAGCAAAAGGG
rnacentral:rRNA from 1 species